rnacentral:lncRNA from 1 species
AAAAGACAGAAAAUGGGCUCAAGAAUACACCAAAAAUCCUUGAUGACAUCUGUGCUUCUUUAGUGGAAAACAAAAUGUCCUCUGAUUUAGCUAAGCACCCUCAGGGACUGAGGACAAGCCAGCAUGCUGACACUCCUCAUACCUGGCUAUGAGAUAAUUGCCUGCUCUGUUUGCAAGAUCCCAACAGGAGCAACUGGAAUGUGUUCAGGGAGUGAUGGAAAUAGGGCAGCUAGUGAGGGUUUGUGGGGUGCAUCAUAAAUUAAAUGGUGAACCUUGGAAGCCUGAAUCUUUCACCAAAGGAGAUAUGGAAGUCAACAUAGUUAAUGGCAGGACCUAAUGAAAUGAUCACAGAAGCCACAGUAGACUUCUAGAGCGGGUUUGAAGUUAUUCCAAAAAGCUUUAAAAUGAAAAAUAAUGAUGUGGAAACUUAAGGACUAGCCACAAGGAGAAGAUUUUAGAGAUAUGAUCGCUUCCAGGUUUGAUGAUCUGAUUGCCAACAUUCCAUUGCCUGAGCACACUUGAGUACACAAAAUGAGAUGGCAAACUAAAUUUGUUCUCUAGACUGCCAAACUACUUUGUUUGGCCAGAUCUGGUUCUGAAGAUACAUAAUGCUUACAGGCUUAUUAGAGAUUGGAAAUAUGGAGCCUCAAGUCUUUAUUUAGAUAUAUCUGGUGUAGCCAGUGUUAUGGUCUAUGUGGAAAUUUCCAAAGGAUAGUGUGACCAUGAAGAACUCCUUAAAACUAUCCAAGAUGGAAUGCUGACGAACUCACAACAAACUCAAGAAAACCCAGCAGGCCGGGCGUGGUGGUUCACACCUGCAAAAAGAAAGAAGGAAGGAAGGAAGAAAAGAAAAGAAAGAAAAGAAGAGAAAAGAAAAGAAAAUCCAGCAGACCAUGAUCCUAUUUGUGAUCAGAGCUGGUAUUUAGACAGAUCACUAAGAAAGCAUCUUCAUGAAGAGUAUGGAGGUCAAGGCUGAGCUAUUAUACAAUUUCUCAGAGAAGCAGUGUUUAUCACAGCAGGAACUCCACAUCAGACCCAUAACUUACAUAGUGGUAUCAAAAUGACUGAAAAUUUUGUUUCUCUAGAGCAUGUUAAACAAUGCUCCUGGUUUAGACAGGAAUUCCGUUAUCUGUCACAGAUUCAUACCAAUCACAAAGAUGUAUUACAGGUGAGGUACGUUAUCUACCACGCAUUGAAAGAUGUUGCUGCUAUACUAAAAACCAGUGGAUCCAGUUUUGU